UACGGGGGGAGCAAGCGUUGUUCGGAUUUACUGGGCGUAAAGGGCGCGUAGGCGGUAGCACAAAUCAGUUGUGAAAUCUCCGGGCUUAACUCGGAAAGGUCAACUGAUACUGUGCGACUAGAGUGCAGAAGGGGCAACUGGAAUUCUCGGUGUAGCGGUGAAAUGCGUAGAUAUCGAGAGGAACACCUGCGGCGAAGGCGGGUUGCUGGGCUGACACUGACGCUGAGGCGCGAAAGCCAGGGGAGCGAACGGG
rnacentral:rRNA from 1 species